rnacentral:rRNA from 1 species
UCGUAGUUGGAUACGAAUAGGCCUCCGGGCCAUGCACCUCAGCAGGCUGGCGACGGCUCCCGGGGAGAAACCCCCGGGGGCUGGCUGGCGGAUUGCAAUGUCACCUCGCGCGGGGAUGAAUCCUCUGCAGACGACUGAAGUGACCAAGCGGGUCGUGUAAGCGGUCAAGUAGCCUUGUUGCUACGAGUCGCUGAGCGUCAGCCCGAUCCUUGGCUAGAUUU